GAGUAACGCGUGAGGAACCUGCCUCAAAGAGGGGGACAACAGUUGGAAACGACUGCUAAUACCGCAUAAGCCCACAGCUCGGCAUCGAGCAGAGGGAAAAGGAGCAAUCCGCUUUGAGAUGGCCUCGCGUCCGAUUAGCUAGUUGGUGAGGUAACGGCCCACCAAGGCAACGAUCGGUAGCCGGACUGAGAGGUUGAACGGCCACAUUGGGACUGAGACACGGCCCAGACUCCUACGGGAGGCAGCAGUGGGGAAUAUUGCACAAUGGGGGAAACCCUGAUGCAGCGACGCCGCGUGGAGGAAGAAGGUCUUCGGAUUGUAAACUCCUGUUGUUGAGGAAGAUAAUGACGGUACUCAACAAGGAAGUGACGGCUAACUACGUGCCAGCAGCCGCGGUAAAACGUAGGUCACAAGCGUUGUCCGGAAUUACUGGGUGUAAAGGGAGCGCAGGCGGGAAGACAAGUUGGAAGUGAAAUCUAUGGGCUCAACCCAUAAACUGCUUUCAAAACUGUUUUUCUUGAGUAGUGCAGAGGUAGGCGGAAUUCUCGGUGUAGCGGUGGAAUGCGUAGAUAUCGGGAGGAACACCAGUGGCGAAGGCGGCCUACUGGGCACCAACUGACGCUGAGGCUCGAAAGUGUGGGUAGCAAACAGGAUUAGAUACCCUGGUAGUCCACACCGUAAACGAUGAUUACUAGGUGUUGGAGGAUUGACCCCUUCAGUGCCGCAG
rnacentral:rRNA from 1 species